AGUGAACGCUGGCGGUAGGCCUAACACAUGCAAGUCGAACGGCAGCACAGUAAGAGCUUGCUCUUACGGGUGGCGAGUGGCGGACGGGUGAGGAGUACAUCGGAAUCUACUUUUUCGUGGGGGAUAACGUAGGGAAACUUACGCUAAUACCGCAUACGACCUACGGGUGAAAGCAGGGGAUCUUCGGACCUUGCGCGAUUGAAUGAGCCGAUGUCGGAUUGGCUAGUUGGCGGGGUAAAGGCCCACCAAGGCGACGAUCCGUAGCUGGUCUGAGAGGAUGAUCAGCCACACUGGAACUGAGACACGGUCCAGACUCCUACGGGAGGCAGCAGUGGGGAAUAUUGGACAAUGGGCGCAAGCCUGAUCCAGCCAUACCGCGUGGGUGAAGAAGGCCUUCGGGUUGUAAAGCCCUUUUGUUGGGAAAGAAAAGCAGCAGGUUAAUACCCCGCUGUUCUGGCGGUACCCAAAGAAUAAGCACCGGCUAACUUCGUG
rnacentral:rRNA from 1 species